GAUGAACGCUGGCGGCGUGCCUAAUACAUGCAAGUCGAGCGAACAGACGAGGAGCUUGCUCCUCUGACGUUAGCGGCGGACGGGUGAGUAACACGUGGAUAACCUACCUAUAAGACUGGGAUAACUUCGGGAAACCGGAGCUAAUACCGGAUAAUAUAUUGAACCGCAUGGUUCAAUAGUGAAAGACGGUUUUGCUGUCACUUAUAGAUGGAUCCGCGCCGCAUUAGCUAGUUGGUAAGGUAACGGCUUACCAAGGCAACGAUGCGUAGCCGACCUGAGAGGGUGAUCGGCCACACUGGAACUGAGACACGGUCCAGACUCCUACGGGAGGCAGCAGUAGGGAAUCUUCCGCAAUGGGCGAAAGCUUGACGGAGCAACGCCGCGUGAGUGAUGAAGGUCUUCGGAUUGUAAAGCUCUGUUAGUAGGGAAGAACAAAUGUGUAAGUAUCUAUGCACGUCUUGACGGUACCUAAUCAGAAAGCCACGGCUAACUACGUG
rnacentral:rRNA from 1 species